CAGUCGAGCGCAGGAAGCCGGCAGAUCCCUUCGGGGUGACGCCGGUGGAAUGAGCGGCGGACGGGUGAGUAACACGUGGGCAACCUGCCUUGCAGACUGGGAUAACUCCGGGAAACCGGGGCUAAUACCGGAUGAUCAUUUGGAUCGCAUGAUCCGAAUGUAAAAGUGGGGAUUUAUCCUCACACUGCAAGAUGGGCCCGCGGCGCAUUAGCUAGUUGGUAAGGUAAUGGCUUACCAAGGCGACGAUGCGUAGCCGACCUGAGAGGGUGAUCGGCCACACUGGAACUGAGACACGGUCCAGACUCCUACGGGAGGCAGCAGUAGGGAAUCAUCCGCAAUGGGCGAAAGCCUGACGGUGCAACGCCGCGUGAACGAUGAAGGUUUUCGGAUCGUAAAGUUCUGUUAUGAGGGAAGAACACGUGCCGUUCGAAUAGGGCGGCACCUUGACGGUACCUCACGAGAAAGCCCCGGCUAACUACGUGCCAGCAGCCGCGGUAAUACGUAGGGGGCAAGCGUUGUCCGGAAUUAUUGGGCGUAAAGCGCGCGCAGGCGGUCUCUUAAGUCUGAUGUGAAAGCCCACGGCUCAACCGUGGAGGGUCAUUGGAAACUGGGGGACUUGAGUGUAGGAGAGGAAAGUGGAAUUCCACGUGUAGCGGUGAAAUGCGUAGAUAUGUGGAGGAACACCAGUGGCGAAGGCGACUUUCUGGCCUACAACUGACGCUGAGGCGCGAAAGCGUGGGGAGCAAACAGGAUUAGAUACCCUGGUAGUCCACGCCGUAAACGAUGAGUGCUAGGUGGUUAGGGGUUUCGAUACCCUUAGUGCCGAAGUUAACACAUUAAGCACUCCGCCUGGGGGAGUACGGCCGCAAGGCUGAAACUCAAAGGAAUUGACGGGGGCCCGCACAAGCAGUGGAGCAUGUGGUUUAAUUCGAAGCAACGCGAAGAACCUUACCAGGUCUUGACAUCCUCUGACACCUCUGGAGACAGAGCGUUCCCCUUCGGGGGACAGAGUGACAGGUGGUGCAUGGUUGUCGUCAGCUCGUGUCGUGAGAUGUUGGGUUAAGUCCCGCAACGAGCGCAACC
rnacentral:rRNA from 1 species